GUUAGUUACUAAUGGUCGCUAGUUACCGUAACGUUAGUUACUAAUGGUCGCUAGUUACCGUAACGUUAGUUACUAAUGGUCGCUAGUUACCGUAACGUUAGUUACUAAUGGUCGCUAGUUACCGUAACGUUAGUUACUAAUGGUCGCUAGUUACCGUAACGUUAGUUACUAAUGGUCGCUAGUUACCGUAACGUUAGUUACUAAUGGUCGCUAGUUACCGUAACGUUAUCUGAUGGCUACACUAAUGUCUACCAAACUCAUCCGAAGAAACGAAGGAAACGUGUCCGACCAACGCGUAGGGCUCACCUCAGAGGGCACUGCUGAAGAUGAAUCCUUUAUCGAGGGAAGAUGAACUGGACUGGAGAAUGUCAAGUGGAUUAAUGUAAUAAACCUUGACUGCAGAGAAUUCCCAGACCUAUUAAUGCUUUACGUCACUGUAUGUUUAAGUGACACACUUAGUGCAGUGUAUGACACAGUUUUUUAUUUUACCGGAAAACGGCCAAUUCAAUCCCCACAAAGGAAAGAAUAUAGAGUGAUUUGUUAUGGCUUUGUAUGUUGAAGUUGGGACUGUUGUGUUUCAUCUAGCCUAUAAUCUUUGAGAUAUUACAUUUUCAGUGAGAACUGUUGAACUCGGGAAACUGCACUGGUUUGUCUUUUAGUGAUGUGAGUACAUGAUUAGAUAGCUUUUACAUUAAUCAAUGUGGAGCUGUUCAUCCAGGCAGUUUCUCUAUCCGAUUAAAGACACCCCCUGUCCACGGAAGCUGUUUUAAAAUUAACCCUUUACCCAUUAAGUCAUAAUUUACAAACCCCUGGAGUUGAUUACCAAAUUAAAGCAUUGAUUUAGGCUCUCAGUUUGGUCAUUAUUAAUUUCCGAUCUGGGUAAGUUUGAUUCUGUCUCCUGCCUAAAUAAUAACACUGGUUUAUUCCAAUCUGUCUUACUUUUUACUGAACUUAAGUUGUUUUUCAUUAAAACAAUUUAAAAUCCAUUUCCACUU